rnacentral:rRNA from 1 species
GCUAUUGGAGUUCGAUUAAGCCAUGCGAGUCGAGAGUCCUCGGGACUCGGCGUACCGCUCAGUAACACGUGGGUAACCUGCCCUAUGCUGGGGAAUAACCUCGGGAAACUGAGAAUAAUGCCCCAUAGCCCACUACGCCUGGAACGGUGAGUGGGUCAAAGCUCCGGCGGCAUAGGAUGGGCCUGCGCCGUAUCAGGUUGUAGGGGGUGUAAAGUACCCUCUAGCCAUCAACGCGUACGGGUGUUGGGAGACAUUGCCCGGAGAUGGAUUCUGAGACACGAAUCCAGACCCUACGGGGUGCAGCAGGCGCGAAAACUUGGCAAUGCGAGCAAUCGUGACCAGGGAACUCCAAGUGCGUAGGGUAAGACCUACGCUUUUCUUGACUCUUCAAAGGUCUUGGAAUAAGGGGUGGGUAAGGACGGUGCCAGCCGCCGCGGUAAUACCGGCGCCUCAAGUGGUAGUCGCUUUUAUUGGGCCUAAAACGUCCGUAGCCGGUCUGGCGCAUUCGUGGGUAAAUCAACCCGCUCAACGGGUUGAAUUCUGCGAGCACGGCCAGACUUGGGACCGGGAGAGGUGUGGGGUACUCUCAGGGUAGGGGUAAAAUCCUGUCAUCCUGAGAGGACCACCUGUUGCGAAGGCGCCGCACUAGAACGGAUCCGACGGUCAGGGACGAAACCUAGGGGCACGAACCGGAUUAGAUACCCGGGUAGUCCUAGGUGUAAACGCUGUGGACUUGAUGUUGGGGGCGCUCCGAGCGCUCUCAGUGUCGAAGCGAAGGUGAUAAGUCCACUGCCUGGGGAGUACGGUCGCAAGGCUGAAACUUAAAGGAAUUGGCGGGGGAGCACUGC